rnacentral:rRNA from 1 species
GAUGAACGCUGGCGGCGUGCCUAAUACAUGCAAGUCGAGCGAACAGACGAGGAGCUUGCUCCUCUGACGUUAGCGGCGGACGGGUGAGUAACACGUGGAUAACCUACCUAUAAGACUGGGAUAACUUCGGGAAACCGGAGCUAAUACCGGAUAAUAUAUUGAACAGCAUGGUUCAAUAGUGAAAGACGGUUUUGCUGUCACUUAUAGAUGGAUCCGCGCCGCAUUAGCUAGUUGGUAAGGUAACGGCUUACCAAGGCGACGAUGCGUAGCCGACCUGAGAGGGUGAUCGACCACACUGGAACGGAGACACGGUCCAGACUCCUACGGGAGGCAGCAGUAGGGAAUCUUCCGCAAAGGGCGAAAGCCUGACGGAGCAACGCCGCGUGAGUGAUGAAGGUCUUCGGAUCGUAAAACUCUGUUAUUAGGGAAGAACAAAUGUGUAAGUAACUAUGCACGUCUUGACGGUACCUAAUCAGAAAGCCACGGCUAACUACGUG